UGCCGGAUGAUGACAAACGUUUCUCAUGUUCGCAGUUGAGAGUUGAGUUGAAUCAAAACGACUCGAUGAAUUUUUCACGUAGCCUUCACUUAGAUGUCUGACCCCAGAG
rnacentral:snoRNA from 1 species